rfam:Azoarcus sp. BH72, complete genome
GCUGCUGUAGCUCAGUCGGUAGAGCAACUGAUUCGUAAUCAGUAGGUCACCAGUUCGAUUCCGGUCAGCAGCA